UACAGAGGUCCCGAGCGUUGUUCGGAUUUACUGGGCGUAAAGGGUGCGUAGGCGGCGCGGAAAGUCUGGCGUGAAAGCCCGGGGCUCAACCCCGGAACUGCGCCGGAUACUUCCGCGCUUGGAGGACUGGAGAGGGUGCCGGAAUUCACGGUGUAGCAGUGAAAUGCGUAGAUAUCGUGAGGAAGACCGGAGGCGAAGGCGGGCACCUGGACAGAACCUGACGCUGAGGCACGAAGGCCGGGGGAGCAAACAGG
rnacentral:rRNA from 1 species